CAGCCGCCGCGGUAAUACGAAGGGGGCUAGCGUUGCUCGGAAUGACUGGGCGUAAAGGGCGCGUAGGCGGCGAUCAAAGUCAGGCGUGAAAUUCCUGGGCUCAACCUGGGGGCUGCGUUUGAUACUUGAUUGCUAGAGUGGGGAAGAGGGUCGUGGAAUUCCCAGUGUAGAGGUGAAAUUCGUAGAUAUUGGGAAGAACACUGGUGGCGAAGGCGGCGACCUGGUCCUUUACUGACGCUGAGGCGCGAAAGCGUGGGGAGCAAACAGGAUUAGAUACCCCAGUAGUCCCUGUCUCUUAUAC
rnacentral:rRNA from 1 species